UACGUAGGGGGCAAGCGUUAUCCGGAUUUACUGGGUGUAAAGGGCGUGCAGCCGGGCUGACAAGUCAGAUGUGAAAUCCCGCGGCUCAACCGCGGAACUGCAUUUGAAACUGUCAGUCUUGAGUACCGGAGAGGUCAUCGGAAUUCCUUGUGUAGCGGUGAAAUGCGUAGAUAUAAGGAAGAACACCAGUGGCUAAGGCGGAUGACUGGACGGCAACUGACGGUGAGGCGCGAAAGCGUGGGGAGCAAACAGG
rnacentral:rRNA from 1 species